rnacentral:rRNA from 1 species
GUGGCGGGGUGCCUAGACAUGCAAGUCGAACGCGAAAGUUCCCUUCGGGGGACAAGUAGAGUGGCGCACGGGUGAGUAACACGUAGGUAAUCUACCUUCGGGUGGGGAAUAACAACCGGAAACGGUUGCUAAUACCGCAUAAUGCAGCGGCACCUAAUGGUGACAGUUGUUAAAGCGGGGGAUCGCAAGAUCUCGCGCCUGAAGAGGAGCCUGCGGCGGAUUAGCUAGUUGGUAGGGUAAUGGCCUACCAAGGCGACGAUCCGUAACCGGCCUGAGAGGGCGGUCGGUCACACUGACACUGACAUACGGGUCAGACUCCUACGGGAGGCAGCAGUCGGGAAUUUUGGGCAAUGGGCGAAAGCCUGACCCAGCAACGCCGCGUGAAGGAUGAAAUCCCUCGGGAUGUAAACUUCGCAAGAACGGGAAGAAUAAGUGGAAGUUAAUACCUUCCAUGAUGACGGUACCGUUUGUAAGCUCCGGCUAACUCCGUGCCAGCAGCCGCGGUAAUACGGGGGGAGCAAGCGUUGUUCGGAUUUACUGGGCGUAAAGGGCGCGUAGGCGGCCUCCGCAAGUCAGUUGUGAAAUCUCCGAGCUUAACUCGGAAAGGUCAACUGAUACUGCGGGGCUAGAGUGCGGAAGGGGCAACUGGAAUUCUUGGUGUAGCGGUGAAAUGCGUAGAUAUCAAGAGGAACACCUGCGGCGAAGGCGGGUUGCUGGGCCGACACUGACGCUGAGGCGCGAAAGCUAGGGAGCGAACGGGAUUAGAUACCCCGGUAGUCCUAGCCCUUAAACGAUGAAUGCUUGGUGUCUGGGGUUAUAUAGUUCCCCGGGUGCCG